UAUCGAAGAAUAUUGGACUACAUUA
rnacentral:sRNA from 1 species